rnacentral:rRNA from 1 species
CAGUCGCCGCGGUAAUACAGAGGAUGCAAGCGUUAUCCGGAAUUACUGGGCGUAAAGCGCACGUAGGCGGCUUGGUAAGUUAGAGGUGAAAGCCCGGAGCUCAACUCCGGAAUUGCCUUUAAGACUGCCGAGCUAGUAGGUGAGAGAGGUAAGUGGAAUUCCGAGUGUAGAGGUGAAAUGCGUAGAUAUGCGGAGGAACACCGAUGGCGAAGGCAAUCCCCUGGACCUGUACUGACGCUCAUGCACGAAAGCGUGGUGAGCAAACAGGAUUAGAUACCCGCGUAGUCCCUGUCUCUUAUAC